CUCGAGCGAAGCGAGAGAACGUUGCCGCAGGCAACGGCCCGAAGGGCGAGGCGCUUUAGCGCCGAGUAAUCCUUCCCUCACCACCA
rnacentral:sRNA from 1 species